AUCAGAAUAAAGAACUAAGAUUAGACAGUGUCGUUCUCUCAAUAAUCAGAGACUGACAACAAAUUGAAGAAUCUGACUAUUCUCUGAAAUGCCAAGGGUUGCAUGUAACUACGUAGCCCUGAGUCUUCCAGAAGAACCAGAUCUGUCUUGAAGGGUUUUGGCUUUUUGCACUGAAUGUAACCAAGACUGAUCGUCUCAGUUGCCCCAGGAUACUGUCAGAGGGUUUCCUAGGUGUAAGCCCACAGCUUCUGAGUACGGCAGUAUAUUGUGGCAAUAGUGCAUAUCAGAACAAAACUGUUUACCUGUGUUAGUAAAAG
rnacentral:lncRNA from 1 species